GAUGAACGCUGGCGGCGUGCCUAAUACAUGCAAGUCGAGCGAACAGACGAGGAGCUUGCUCCUCUGACGUUAGCGGCGGACGGGUGAGUAACACGUGGAUAACCUACCUAUAAGACUGGGAUAACUUCGGGAAACCGGAGCUAAUACCGGAUAAUAUAUUGAACCGCAUGGUUCAAUAGUGAAAGACGGUUUUGCUGUCACUUAUAGAUGGAUCCGCGCCGCAUUAGCUAGUUGGUAAGGUAACGGCUUACCAAGGCAACGAUGCGUAGCCGACCUGAGAGGGGGGUCGGCCACACUGGAACUGAGACACGGUCCAGACUCCUACGGGAGGCAGCAGUAGGGAAUCUUCCGCAAUGGGCGAAAGCUGGACGGAGCAACGCCGCGUGAGUGAUGAAGGUCUUCGGAUCGUAAAACUCUGUUAUUAGGGAAGAACAAAUGUGUAAGUAACUAUGCACGUCUUGACGGUACCUAAUCAGAAAGCCACGGCUAACUACGUG
rnacentral:rRNA from 1 species